GACGAACGCUGGCGGCGUGCCUAAUACAUGCAAGUCGAACGCAGUGGGGACGGGUGAGUAACACGUGGGUAACCUCCCAUCAGAGGGGAUAACACUUGGAAACAGGUGCUAAACCGAUACUGAUGGAUGGACCCGCGGUGCAUUAGCUAGUUGGUGGGGUAACGGCCUACCAAGGCAAUGAUGCAUAGCCGACCUGAGAGGUGAAUGGGCCACAUUGGGACUGAGACACGACCCAAACACCUACGGGAGGCAGCAGUAGGGAAUCUUCCGCAAUGGGCGCAAGCCUGACGGAGCAACGCCGCGUGAGUGAAGAAGGUUUUCGGAUCGUAAAGCUCUGUUGUAAGAGAAGCGGUAUCUUACCAGAAAGCCACGGCUAACUACGUGCCAGCCGCCGCGGUAAUAC
rnacentral:rRNA from 1 species